rnacentral:lncRNA from 1 species
CUACUAUCCCUGACCUGAGAACCAGGCGUGAACUAGACUGGGUGACAGUGAUGGACCUUGAUGAGCUCGUGGGACCUUCUAGACCUGAUAUUUCUUCAUAAUAACAGCUGACAUUUACAUGACACUCCAGAAGGGUUUCCAAGAGGCUGUCUCCUUCACUCAUUGGAUUCUGAAGACAACCAAGAGAAAUAGACCAUCCUACAGGUAGGAUUCUGGGUUCUCAGGGCUCCCCCAGCUCUAACCUUUUGUUUUCUAAGGUCCCUCCUAGUUCUGACAUUCUGGGUUCUAAAGAACUCCCCCAGCUCUGACAUACUGGGUACUAAGGGUUCCCUCAACUCUGAUAUUCUAGGUUCUAAGGUCUCUCCCACCUCUGUUCUAAGGCUUCUACCAGCUCUGACAUUCUCUGUUCUAAGGCUUCUACCAGCUCUGACAUUCUCUGUUCUAAGGUCUCUCCCAGCUCUGACAUUCCCUGUUCUAAGGUCUCUCCAGCUCUGACAUUCUCUAUUCUAAGGCCUCUCCCAGCUCUGACAUUCUCUGCUCUAAGGUCUCUCCCAGCUCUGACAUUCUCUGCUCUAAGGUCUCUCCCAGCUCUGACAUUCUCUGUUCUAAGCUCUCUCCCAGCUCUGACACUCUCUGUUCUAAGGACUCUCCCAGCUCUGACAUUCUCUGUUCUAAGCUCUCUCCCACCUCUGUUCUAAGGCUUCUACCAGCUCUGACAUUCUCUGUUCUAAGGCUUCUACCAGCUCUGACAGUCUCUGUUCUAAGGUCUCUCUCAGCUCUGACAUUCUCUGCUCUAAGGUCUCUCCAGCUCUGACAUUCUCUGUUCUAAGGUCUCUCUCAGCUCUGACAUUCUCUGCUCUAAGGUCUCUCUAGCUCUGACACUCUCUGUUCUAAGGACUCUCCCAGCUCUGACAUUCUCUGUUCUAAGCUCUCUCCCACCUCUGUUCUAAGGCUUCUACCAGCUCUGACAUUCUCUGUUCUAAGGCUUCUACCAGCUCUGACAGUCUCUGUUCUAAGGUCUCUCUCAGCUCUGACAUUCUCUGCUCUAAGGUCUCUCCAGCUCUGACAUUCUCUGUUCUAAGGCCUCUCCCAGCUCUGACAUUCUCUGCUCUAAGGUCUCUCCCAGCUCUGACAUUCUCUGUUCUAAGCUCUCUCCCAGCUCUGACACUCUCUGUUCUAAGGACUCUCCCAGCUCUGACAUUCUCUGUUCUAAGCUCCCUCCCAGCUCUGACAUUCUGUUCUAAGGCCCCUUCCAGUUCUGACAUUGUGUUCUAAGAUUCUCCCUAAUGUAACAUUUAGUACUUUUCAGCUCUAUUCCUGCAAGUCCCAUUCCAGAAAAAAAAAACAUUAAGUAACCAGGGUUUUCCCC